rnacentral:rRNA from 1 species
UACAGAGGGGGCAAGCGUUGUUCGGAAUUACUGGGCGUAAAGCGCGCGUAGGCGGCCCUGUAAGUCCGUUGUGAAAGUCAAAGGCUCAACCUUUGAAAGCCGAUGGAUACUGCAGGGCUAGAGUCCGGAAGAGGCGAGUGGAAUUCCUGGUGUAGCGGUGGAAUGCGCAGAUAUCAGGAGGAACACCAAUAGCGAAGGCAGCUCGCUGGGACGGUACUGACGCUAAGGCGCGAAAGCGUGGGGAGCGAACAGG